UCGGCUGACUCCUCCACGCGAGGUAUGAGUCCCGAGGAACUCCGAGUGAUGGGAACCAGUCUAAAAUGCAAGAAAUUUCCGCCAAGAAAACAACAAAGAAAGGGAUUUUGGAUGUUGUCAGCUGUAUACAUCAUGUGCAACUGUGACUGCAAGAAACAAGGAAUUGGGAGCUUAUGCAUGCUGCUAAGGAUGGAAAGGUCUUGUGUUUAUUGGUUGUGCCCGAGACAUUGAUCAGUCACAGGUGUACCCUAUUUCCAUUUUAGGGAGUCUAUAUACAUUUGAGGUGAGCGGCAGAUUUAAUUUUGAAGAUGGGUGACUUUCAGAUGUUGUGAUGAAGAUUGUUGAAAGGGAUUAUCAACAUAGAACCAAUCCAUAUGAAUGUGCAAGUCAGGACUUGUACAACACCUGAGUACCUAGAUGACUGUUGAACUAAUUGGUGAACAAGAAAAGAUGUCAGAGAGGGGAAUCCAAUGCAGAUGUCAUGAUCAAGAAUAUAUACACUUAUCAAUGAUAUGAUCAAG